rnacentral:rRNA from 1 species
UACAGAGGUCUCAAGCGUUGUUCGGAUUCAUUGGGCGUAAAGGGUGCGUAGGUGGCGCGGAAAGUCGGGUGUGAAAUUUCGGAGCUUAACUCCGAAACUGCAUUCGAUACUGCCGUGCUUGAGGACUGGAGAGGAGACUGGAAUUUACGGUGUAGCAGUGAAAUGCGUAGAUAUCGUAAGGAAGACCAGUGGCGAAGGCGGGUCUCUGGACAGUUCCUGACGCUGAAGCACGAAGGCCAGGGGAGCAAACGGG